CGGCGGCUGCGCGGUGCAGGGGAGGGGCGCGCCGGGCGCCAUCUUGGAGGAGGGCGCGCUGAAGGGCAGGAGGCGCCGGGACGAGGGGCACGGCUUCCCGCUGCCGGAGGGCGGGCUGAGGAAAAGAUCUGACUGAAUUUGGGCCAAGACCAUACAUACACUGUUUAGUGAGAGACUGUAAAAUACUGUUCCAGUUUGCAAAGAAGAUGCAACUAAGUUCUGAUGAGAAGCCUCAUGAAGACAGCUUCUAGAACAAUGGGUGGAAGAAUUUUUAGAACAAUGGGCGGCCCUGAUACAAUUACAGCAUUUAUGUUCACAUGCUGUUUCAAAUGUCAUUAUGUUCAUGCUAAUGCUGCCUAACUACCUGUUCAGUACGUGUUAACAAAAUGUUACUAAAAUGAAGCCUGGAGUUAUCAAUUAAAUAUUUUACUCUUUAAA